GUGAAAUGACUUGAUAGGUGUAGGAUAAGUGGGAGCCUAAGUGGGAGCCGAGAGGCGAAAGUGAAAUACCACUACUUUUAACGUUAUUUUACUUAUUUCGUGAAUCGGAGG
rnacentral:rRNA from 1 species